GGCUCUAUAGCUUUAGCUCAGUGGUUAGAGCACUGGUCUUGAAAAACCAGGGGUUGUGAGUUCAAUCCUCACUAGGGCCU